AUUGAACGCUGGCGGCAGGCUUAACACAUGCAAGUCGAGCGGGGAAAGGUAGCUUGCUACCUGACCUAGCGGCGGACGGGUGAGUAAUGCUUAGGAAUCUGCCUAUUAGUGGGGGACAACAUUCCGAAAGGAAUGCUAAUACCGCAUACGCCCUACGGGGGAAAGCAGGGGAUCUUCGGACCUUGCGCUAAUAGAUGAGCCUAAGUCAGAUUAGCUAGUUGGUGGGGUAAAGGCCUACCAAGGCGACGAUCUGUAGCGGGUCUGAGAGGAUGAUCCGCCACACGGGGACUGAGACACGGCCCAGACUCCUACGGGAGGCAGCAGUGGGGAAUAUUGGACAAUGGGCGAAAGCCUGAUCCAGCCAUGCCGCGUGUGUGAAGAAGGCCUUUUGGUUGUAAAGCGCUUUAAGCGAGGAGGAGGCUACCGAGAUUAAUACUCUUGGAUAGUGGACGUUACUCGCAGAAUAAGCACCGGCUAACUCUGUGCCAGCCGCCGCCGUAAUAC
rnacentral:rRNA from 1 species